AGUGAACGCUGGCGGUAGGCCUAACACAUGCAAGUCGAACGGCAGCACAGUAAGAGCUUGCUCUUACGGGUGGCGAGUGGCGGACGGGUGAGGAAUACAUCGGAAUCUACUUUUUCGUGGGGGAUAACGUAGGGAAACUUACGCUAAUACCGCAUACGACCUACGGGUGGAAGCAGGGGAUCUUCGGACCUUGCGCGAUUGAAUGAGCCGAUGUCGGAUUAGCUAGUUGGCGGGGUAAAGGCCCACCAAGGCGACGAUCCGUAGCUGGUCUGAGAGGAUGAUCAGCCACACUGGAGCUGAGACACGGUCCAGACUCCUACGGGAGGCAGCAGUGGGGAAGAUUGGACAAUGGGCGCAAGCCUGAUCCAGCCAUACCGCGUGGGUGAAGAAGGCCUUCGGGUUGUAAAGCCCUUUUGUUGGGAAAGAAAAGCAGCAGGUUAAUACCCCGCUGUUCUGACGGUACCCAAAGAAUAAGCACCGGCUAACUUCGU
rnacentral:rRNA from 1 species